GGACAUUGGGGCUAGUCGUCGUCGUUUGUUCUGUUGUCAGCUGUCAUCGACGAAUACUAGCUAUCAGGUCGUGGUGCCGUAGAUCGGCUGUGCUGUGAACCAUUUCUUUAGUGUAAAUACCGCAAGGACGCCCUGAAAAUGAAUGCCCCAGGCCAGCAGGAGGCUAUUCCUUGGUGGCAAAAAUACGGAGCCCGUGGUGUGGGCUGUGGAGGAGGCAUAAUUGCCUUAUGUCUUGGUGUUUUCAACUGCAUCACAGUCUACCCCUUAUGUAUUGUUGCUGGUAUAUGGCAGAUGAUGGCUGCGUUUAUUGUGAUCUCUGCUGAAGCGCCGUGUUGUUGUAUGUUCGUGGAGUUUGUUCAAAGAUAUUCGAAUUGGGUUGAAACUCGACCCCAUUGGCAGAAAGCAGCAUUUUAUGUGAUUAUAGCAUUGCCUGCAAUCAUCAUGUGCCCUGGCUUAUCCACCGUGUUUGGAUCUGGUCUCAUAUUUAUGACUGGUGUGUUGUAUGGCUUAAUGGCUCUUGGAAAGAAGGGUAGCCGAGAGGACAUGAUCGCCGCAGCCCAGCAAAACACUGGGCCUGCCAACUCUCAAAGUGCCAUCCUAGUGGACGACCCUGAGGCCUGGCGCUCAACUUGAGCCCAGUAAUGGCUCAGUAACAAGUACCAUCCAGCAUUUUGAUAACCAGCUACUAACAUGUUCGUUUUUUCUCAACAACUAACUCUUUGAAGCAUGAAAAAGGAUCCCGAGAUGACAUGAUAGCAGCGGCUCAGGGGUCCGUACGAUCAGGAAAGGACAUAUUAGUGGAUGCUGAACAGCCACCAGCAUCUGCUUAAUUUCCACCCCCCACUUUUUUUUUUUUUUUUUUUUUUUUUUCUAGAAACAAAACCUUCCAACCCUUCUUUGGGUAGUGAAAAGUGAAACUUACUUUUUGCCUGCUUACCGUAUUUUACAUGUACCAGUACUGUAUAUGAAUGAGGGUAACCUUGUAUUUAUACACAUAUUUGUGCCAUUUGAAUGACUGUGAAACACUUGUUUAGGUACUUUAUAAGUAAACAAUAUUUUAGUAAACAUUCAUCUAAAUCAAGGCUGACAUGUAUUUUAUUGUACUUAUAUAAUUUUAAAUAAUUGAAAAUAUUCUGGGUUAUGGAUGAAAUUUAGAUAAACUGGUAGAACUUGGGAAUAUUUUUUUUUUUUUGGCAAUGAGUAAAUGACAGAUGCACAAUGCUGAACCUUUAAUUAUUGAUCAAACUUUUAAAAGUAACACUUCUGCCUCAGGGUGUAUUUUCCUGGACAUGGUUGUAUUACAGUCACAACAGGAAAAAGAAUAUAUUUUACAGUGCUGGUGGACUACCUUAAGAAUGUACCAAUUUUAAGGAUGUAUAGAUUUUUUAUAAGGAACUUCUGUGAAGCUGUCUUUUUCUGAGUGCAAAAUAUUCAGACAGAAGGAAUGAGUGACAGCAAUAUGUGCACCAUGGUGAACUAUUGAUUGGUAAGAGCAUGUUUUUUAAAAGUACAUAUCUCCUGUUUUCAUGUGAGCGCUGCUGAUGAGAUCAUGUUUCUAAACCAUAACUAGCUGGCUAUGCAGAAUUUUGGGUAUCCCAUGGUAUAAGACAUUGUGAAUUAUGCAGUAUGGUAUAUAUAUAUAGGAAUUUUGAAGUAUAUAGUUCAUGAAAAUUAUGGCCAUUCCUUCCAUACUCCUUCCAUUUUCAAGUCAACUCUGUAGGUACAUUUUUCAGUUUAACAGACAAUAGUGAAUUUGCAUUGCUCCGUCAUAAAUGCAAAAUGUCAAGCUUGCUUCUACAGGCAUUAUUGGAAUUCAUACAUUUCUAAUCAAUGGUAGGUGAAUGAAUAAUUAUAGUACAUAGAAAUUUGGUUGUAUGUAUGUGAUGCCUUGUUUGCUGGAAAUUCUAUUAAGAUUAGUAAUGUUUUCUUCUUUGCAUAAGGUUAAUGGUUUUCAAUUUGCACGUGAUGUAUACCUAGUUUAUUAUUUUAGGGAUAUUUUCUUUGGGUGUUUACAUACAAGGAUGGUAAUUUUGAGAAUAUAUUUACACAAGAUGUUUAUGCAGAAUUUAAAAAAUUACUAUAGACGAUGUACAUUGGUACCAUUACCAGUUCCAAGCUCUUGAAUAAUUAAACUAGUUUCAGUGAUUGAACAUAAUAUCCCAGAAUUAUUUGUGGCGUACUGUAUGAAGUAAUGCAGAAAGAGAAACCAUAUACUUUUAUUAUGGAUGACUUAAUUUUAGAUUUCAGAAUUUAAAAAAGCUUUUUGUAGAUGGUAAAAUUAUUAGUCCAAUUCCCAUUUUUGUUCAGGAAUUUUGUGUAAUUCUUGUUUGAUGUUUCCUCAAGUUAAUUUUAUGCAGUCUUUGGAAUUGCAGGUCUUUGUUUCCAAUGGUUCACUGAUUACCUUGUGUUAAUUGAACCUGUCUGCUCUACAUGUGAAACUGGAGGCUUAGAAGAAUAAAAUUGCAUAUACAUAACAUUUUCUUUUGCUUAGGAAGUAUUGGUUGAUAAUUAAUUUUUGCAUAGACAUCAUGUAAGAUGGUGCUGCAACUGUUAGAAGAUUAUCAUUUUAAGUAGAGUUUUAUUCAUGCAAAUUUAAAAAAAAACGUUUCUGCCACAUAAAGUCUUACCAACCAUUUAUGAAGAUAUACUUUAAACAUAUAGUUGAAUUGAUGAAUUUAAAGGAUUUUAUUCUAGUUCAAUAUCUUCAUAAUGUUUCUUAAAAUUUGGGCUAUACAUAUAUGUAUAUAUUUUGUUUAAGAAGGAGGUAACUUCAAAUUUAAAAGCAUGGAAAUGCAUCUUUCAGGGAAUCUUACUGUACUUCUGUGAGGGCUAAAGUGAUCAGUUGCUAAAUAAAAUUACUGCUUUGAGAUAACAUCAUUUUCUAAUUUACAUUACAUGAUGCCUAAAAUGUAGAUUGGUAAGGUUUGGAUUGCAUAUGGUUUACAAAGUUAACUAAUUAUUAAUUAUUCUCAUAAGUGCAUACGCAUGAUUCUCCAUCCUUAAAACUAUAUUGUAGAAUAUUUCCAAUCAUAUCAGCAUGAAUAGAUUUUGUAUACUGUAGACUUUGCUACUGGCUUCUUCCUUAUGAGUCCUAUUUUUGUUUUGUUAUCAAGUAUUGCUCAAUUACCUAUCAGCAUUAAUGGGAUUCAGAACUGAUUUAGUCUAUGAUUCUAAAUAUAUUCUCUUUUAAUUAAAGAUCAUCACAGCUUACCAAAGAUUAGUUAUUGAAAACUAUUUUAGUGCAAAAAUCACAUGAACCUCUUCCAAAAGAAUUUCAUAUUUGUUUUUCAGGUUUUCUAAAAGCAUUUGGCAAAUUGUUGCCUAUAGAAAGUCAAACCAUAAUAUUUUUCAGAUAUGGUACUACCUUAAUGGUAUAAAUACAGUACUGUAUAAUCUUGUGUAUUCCUUCUCAGUGCUUUGCCUUUAACUUUGGGGUGAUUAAUGUAUGUAGUUUUUUUUAUAGUACUGCAUAUAUAGAUAUCUCUUUCUUUGUACUUAAACAUGUUUUUGUCACAUGAUUUAUUUGGACAAGUAUGAUGUUAUGUGGGAAGUCCCCCAGAAUUUCCUCAUGUCUGACAUUUGUUUGUCAAAGCAAGACCAUGUGUUUAAUGCACUAGAUAUCCUUUAACUUUGUAGCACUUUUAAAAAGAAUGUUGCAGUUACAUAGAUGUACGUAUGAUUAUUUUGUUAAGAUUUAUUAGUAAUCUAUAUUACUGAGCAUUUGCAGGCAGAAUAGCAGAGAUGAAUUCAGGAACAUAUCCUGAGCUUUUCUCUCUUCUGCCAUUCACCCAUUAUAUGUACUAUAUGAUUUUCCCAUCCCCCCCUCUUAUGAAUGAAUCUUCCUUUUUUUUUCUCGGUCUUGUCUGGUAACAUGGGAUAGGAUUAUGCACCCCUUUCUUGCUGACAUCUUUCAGUGAUAUUUCUGUAUGUAAUGUUAUUUUUUUUUUACGCAGGCUUUGUCUCUGGUUCCUCUAUGCAUGGGUAUUUAUCCAUGCUGAUAUUAAUUGUAGAAACCUCAAAAAGUAGUGCAUUUUUGACUUAUGAUUCCAUGUUUUCAUUAAGAAAUAAUCUAUAAUAAUUUCACAAAAUUAAAGAAGUUAUCUAAAGUAGUGCAUUGAUAUAUUCCGUAUGUAUAUGAUAUUCAACUUUGCUUAAUACCAAAUUGAACAGUUUGUGGGGGUAAUUUUGUGAACUGUAGUCAAGGCAUUAGGUUCACCUUUGCACUGCAUAGUGUUUCAAGAAGUUGUGCCUUGUAAUGGUAGCUCUAGGCAUGAACAGAUAUUUAAUUCAAACAUGUUAGUGUGAAUACUUUUGGUAAUGUUUUUUUGUUGCUCGGAAUGUGUUCAUUGUUGUACCGUAAAUAAUUGUAAGUUAUUGCUUAUGCAAUGUGAGUCAAACUUGCAGUAUAUAUUUGCUCUUGCUUCCUCUGUAUUAGGAACUUGGAUACCCAAGUUAGGCUGUGAGCUGUAGACAGUUAUGAAUUAUUUGUAUUUCUAUUUUUGGGAAUGCUACAAAACCUCACAAGCAGUAUCAGUACACUAUUUGAGCAUAGUAAGAACUGAAGUGUUGAAAGUGCCCCCAUCCAAUCCUGGAAGAAUUUAUGACCAAAAUUUAUGGGAUUACACAUAAACUUUGUGAAAUCACUAUACAUACUUGUUUAAGGAUCACCAGUCAAAAGAAUAUAUAGCCAUUCUGAUUUGACUAGAUUGUUACUGGUAACAUUGGGAGCGAUAAAUUAUAAAUUCCAUUCCAUGCUUUGCAUCUGAACUUUUCCAAUUUUCUUUUUAUUCUUUCCUCUAUUUCUCUACAAAUAUGCAUGGUACUAACAUACAAGAAAUUACUAAUGUUUUAGAAUACUUACAAUUUCAAACUUGAACAAGGCAGGGUUUAUUUACUUUAGAAUGAACAUCAUGAACAUUGAUAUAAAGAUAACUAGCUUUAGUAUUUGUGUUAAAGGUUAUGCUCAUUCCAUUAAAUUACAUAUCAUACAGGUUAGAUUUCUAAUUUUAUUGUGUCUCCUUUGUAUAGUAUAAAGUUUAUUGAAAGUAAAAAGUUAUGAAUGGAUUUUUGUGAUGAAGACAGUUGUUGGAUACAUUUCAGCUGUAUGAGAUCCUUGGCUUCCCAAAUUACUUUAAAAACCUUUACCUUUAGAUUAUUUUAUAAUCAACUUUUGCCAUAAAGAAAUUGGAUUUUAACUAUAAUGUAAGACUGAUAUAUGCUUUGCCAAUUCAAUUUAAGGUGCUGAUUAACUUGAUUGUUGAAUAUUCAAGAAAUUAAAAGUAAUUUGAAUACAAGAAAUUUUUUUUUUCUAGACCACCGAGUUAAAAUAACCCGCAAAGGGCAGGCCAUUGGUCACCAACCUAUUAAUAGGAGCAAGAACAAAUAUAUAUAAAUAUUUAUGUUUCCGUUGGCAGUACCACAAAGAUCUGAUACUUAAUGGUUGGUGUGGAAGGAUUGUGCAAAUACUGUGUACAAUUGCCAGUUAUUGAUAAAAAUAACACCACAAGGUAAUAUUAGUGUUGAAACAUUUUAGUGUCUUGUGUGUGAAACCUAAAAAAAAUUACAAAAAAAAUUAAAUCAUUCCAUUUCCUAAGUAAAUACUUAUGUAAAACUGUAAAACAGACAUUUGUUUUGAAAGUAAUUAGAGUAUUGUAAUCCUUUUGUAAUGAUUUUAUCAGAUACUUAUCAGUACGUAUAUCAGUUUUGAUACAAGUACUUGACAUCUUUGAACCUUUAUUUCGAACUAAGAGAUGUAGGUACUUUAAAUGCAAAAUCAUGAUAAGAAAAUCUGGAGUUGUUGUUAUUCAAGGCUGAUUCCUGCAUAUGUUAUGAAAAUGUUGAAUGUAUGAUGUGUUAAUAGUAGGCAUGUAUCCACUAAGGAGACUGUAAGAUACUGUACAUUUGUGUAAGCCUAAUUGUGUCAGUGUAAAUACUUUGUUAGAUAUCAGAUGAUGUUGGUAAUACAAUUCAGGAACUAUUGAUAUGAUGGGGUUUGCUUUUUAGCAUACAGUGAAAGGAGAGGUGUUCCUCAGUGACUAAUGCUGUCUUGGAAGGUUAUACCCGGUGGUGGAUUUUUUCAUGUUGCUUAUGUAUAAAGUCUAUAAAGAGUUCCAAUUCUUCACUGUCUUAUAGUGGCCUGAAUUGACUUGCCAUUGGUGUAUUUGUUAAUAAAUAAAAGGAAAAGUUUUUUUUUUUUUAAUGCUUUUUUUAAUUAAUUUUUUUUUUCUAUUGUUUUUGAGUGAGGUUUGAAUUAAAAUGCCUUGUUUGGGAGCUAGGCACCUGUGCUUAACUUGUUUUGUGUGUUUCAGUUUCUAUUUACCAAACUGCUAUACUUUCCGUAAGUGGCAAAUAAUAUGGAAAUUGGCCAUUUAUUUGUAAUAGUCUUUUUAGUUUUGUAGAUAAUGGCAUUAUUUUUAGUGUAACGCAAUUUACUUCCUUUGUUUUUAGUUUCUUAGGCGGCUUUUUGAAAAUAAUGUUGCACCAUGUUUAUUGUUCAUGAAGCAAAAUGUGAAUUUGUGUAAAGUUAUUUAGUGUACCCAAUAAAGUGGAUCGAUUUA